rnacentral:rRNA from 1 species
AUUGAACGCUGGCGGCAGGCCUAACACAUGCAAGUCGAGCGGAUGAAGGGAGCUUGCUCCUGGAUUCAGCGGCGGACGGGUGAGUAAUGCCUAGGAAUCUGCCUGGUAGUGGGGGAUAACGUCCGGAAACGGGCGCUAAUACCGCAUACGUCCUGAGGGAGAAAGUGGGGGAUCUUCGGACCUCACGCUAUCAGAUGAGCCUAGGUCGGAUUAGCUAGUUGGUGGGGUAAAGGCCUACCAAGGCGACGAUCCGUAACUGGUCUGAGAGGAUGAUCAGUCAGACGGGAGGAUAAGCGCGGUCGAGGCGACGACGGGAGGCAGCAGUGGGGAAUAUGGGACGAUGGGCGAAAGAGUGAAAAAGACAUGACGUGUGGGGGAAGAAGAGCUUCGUAUUGUAAUGCUCUUUAGGUGGGAAGAAAAGGCAGUGAGCUAAUACCUUGCGGGUCUGCCGUCACCAACAGAAAAAGCAAAGGCUAACUUGGUG